AAAAAAAAUGUUCAGUAUAUUUAAUAGCCUGACAAAAAAACAUUACCACCAACUAGGGACAACGAAGACUUUGCAGUGGAUGAUCCAAGUCCAAUAAAUAAUAAAAUUAAAAUUAAUAAUUCGUCAGUACCUGAUGAUCUUAACAAUAUUCAUCCCGAGUAUUCUGAAAUUGCAUUAAAUGACUCGUUUCUGCUAGACUUAGAGAACUUGGAAACAGGACCAAUUUAAAUUAAAUUAAACAGUGGUAAGAAUUGUCUCUACCAUCAAUCAACGCUUAUGCCGGCAGUCCUCUACUGAAAUGACAAAAGAAAUGUCGUCAUCAUCUUGGAUCAUUUAUGCGACUUGAAUGAACAUGAAGUUAACAAAUUGACUGAAGGAUAAUAAUAAAAACCGAACUAAAUUUAUUCACAGGAAGACAUUAAGACACGUUGGGGAACUUGGAUGGAAGCUAUAAUAUGUGUAUAUUUUCAAUUUAUUAAAAUAUUAAUCGUUGGAUUUGAAGAAAACGAUGACAUAGCUAUCAAAAAAGUGCGAAAUCGAAUGGCAGAAGAAAUGUAAUCAAAUUUGAUAUUUAUAAAAGCCAACUAUAUAAAUAUAAUAAUAAAAAUAGUUAUGGAAAGG